UACGGAGGGUGCAAGCGUUAUCCGGAUUCACUGGGUUUAAAGGGUGCGUAGGUGGGCAGGUAAGUCAGUGGUGAAAUCUCUGGGCUUAACCCAGAAACUGCCGUUGAUACUAUCUGUCUUGAAUGUAGUGGAGGUGAGCGGAAUAUGUCAUGUAGCGGUGAAAUGCUUAGAUAUGACAUAGAACACCAAUUGCGAAGGCAGCUCGCUACACUACUAUUGACACUGAGGCACGAAAGCGUGGGGAUCAAACAGG
rnacentral:rRNA from 1 species